rnacentral:rRNA from 1 species
AUUGAGCGCUGGCGGCAGGCUUAACACAUGCAAGUCGAGCGGGGUGAUGGUGCUUGCACUAUCACUUAGCGGCGGAUGGGUGAGUAAUGCUUAGGAAACUGCCCAUUAGUGGGGGACAACAUCUCGAAAGGGAUGCUAAUACCGCAUACGUCCUACGGGAGAAAGCAGGGGAUCACUUGUGACCUUGCGCUAAUAGAUGAGCCUAAGUCGGAUUAGCUAGUUGGUGGGGUAAAGGCCUACCAAGGCGACGAUCUGUAGCGGGUCUGAGAGGACGACCAGCCACACUGGGACGAAGACACGGCCCAGACUCCUACGGGAGGCAGCAGUGGGGAAUUUUGGACAGUGGGCGAAAGCCUGAUCCAGCCAUGCCGCGUGCAGGAUGAAGGCCUUAUGGUUGUAAAGCACUUUAAGCGAGGAGGAGGCUCUUUUGGUUAAUACCCAAGAUGAGUGGACGUUACUCGCAGAAGAAGCACCGGCUAACUCUGUGCCAGCCGCCGCGGUAA